rnacentral:lncRNA from 1 species
CAUUUCGAGCGCAGAAGCGAGAGAGGGAGCCGGAGCAGCCGCAGUCCCACCGACCCCCGCCGAUCCCGCCGCCGGUCGCCCUCAUCUCCUCGCCGCUGCCUCUCGGUAAGGUCCCCCUCCUUUGCCCGCUCUAGCAUCGUUCCGUCGUCCCGUUUCCCUGCCCCGAUUUGCGCCGGAAGCGCCUGAAUCUACCCGCGAUGCGAGAUCCGCGUCCAUUUCUGGCCUCCGAGCGUCCGCUGCCUGUCGGUAGACGCGGAUCUGUUGCGUUUGUGAACCACCGCCGUCGAUCCGCAGGGUAUCCCCUCCUCAGGGCCCCUGGGUGCGGCGGAUCUAAAUCUUUCUCUGAAUCUUGAAGAAUCUAUAUCUUUUACGAAAUGUUGUUGGCAGAUCCAAACAGACUUAGAUAUUUUUCAGUAUUUGUCCGUUAGUCCUCGAAAUUAAAUCGAUUUGCAUUGUCUCUCUUGUUCCUUUGUACAAUGUGUGUUGGAAUAAUGCUUGAUACCUGAUUAAAUCCUUGUAUAGUUUCUCUUUUCAAUAAUCAAGAUGAGCCGUGGUGGUAGCGCCGGCGGUGGUCAAAGUUCUCUGGGAUACCUCUUUGGAAGCGGUGAGCCCCCCAAACCAGCAGUGGCACCACCAGCUGCAUGUGCUCCACCUGCUGAGAAACCAUCGGCUGCAAAGCCUGAUGCCACCAAACAGGUUGCUGCUGGGGUCACCAGCCAAACCAAUAACUACCACAGGGCUGAUGGCCAGAACACCGGGAACUUCCUUACGGUAUGCUAGUUUACCUUCUUUCAUUUCACAUAAGACUUUGUUUUACAUAUUUGUUGCCAUCAUCUGUUGAUAUGCUUAGAAAUGAUGUCAUAGUUUGUGAGAUGUUUAGAUGAGGUGUAAUCAUGUUAUGAGAAAGCAGUAUGGUAGUUUGUGUUGUGUUGUCACAUAAUGUAUGUACUUAUUCUAACAACCUGCUAGAAUUAUGUUGAUGGAAAGACUUCCAAUCACGUAUAUUGCUCUUUAAAUCGUACUGAGUCUUGAUUCUUGUGGGGUUGUUGACCUGUUGUGCUACAUCCUGAAUUCUUGAAUGUUUGGACCAUCAAUCAUGAGCAAGGUUUUAAAUAGCGGGCUAAGGUGUUUAGCAGUCUAUGUCUAAAACAGCUAAUAGCGGAGCUAAAUCGGGCUAUAGCGGGAUAUAGCGGCUAAAUUGUACAUAAACAUAAAUAGCGGUACCCUGCCUCAAAAGGCUAUAGCGGCAGCAAUAGCGAGAGAUUUAAAACUAUGAUCAUGAGCCAUGUACCAUUUUAUCGCCAACACUAAAUGCUAACACCUUGUUAGUGGCAAAAAAUUUAAUGCCCCUAAGAAAAUAGUCAGACCAUGUCUUUCCAUAAACCAUUGGCUAGAACCUGCUGAACCAAACAUUCCCAUAGUUGUGUCAUGACACAGAAUCUGAUUGGGCAAUACAAGAGUGCAAAUUAGGAAUCCUCAUCCUCAUUCCAGGGAAUACUGAAUUAUGAAUCCUAUUGCAGUUUCAUUCAAAACUACAGAUUCAUAUAUGAAACAUUGUUGCAAACUAAAUAUAUAACAGAGAAAGCAGGUGAACCUGGUUUACCUAAUCACUCCCCAGAAACCAAACCUUGUUUCUUCAUUUACCAGUUAUGCAAAUGCAACCGUGUCAUACUAAUUCUUGGACCUGGUUAACUGAUAGUGUUGUUAUUUGUGAAUGGUUGCAGGAUCGUCCUUCGACGAAGGUCCACGCUGCUCCUGGCGGUGGCUCUUCCCUGGGCUACCUGUUUGGUGGCAAUUGAUGCCCACGUCGGAGCUCACCAAGUUAUCCUCCCCUGCCCCGCUGCAUGUUAUGCCAUGUCUGAAUCAUGAACAACUGGUGUUGUCGUUUCAUGUGUGUGUGUGCC